rnacentral:rRNA from 1 species
AUAAUGGGUCAGCGACUUAUAUUCUGUAGCAAGGUUAACCGAAUAGGGGAGCCGAAGGGAAACCGAGUCUUAACUGGGCGUUAAGUUGCAGGGUAUAGACCCGAAACCCGGUGAUCUAGCCAUGGGCAGGUUGAAGGUUGGGUAACACUAACUGGAGGACCGAACCGACUAAUGUUGAAAAAUUAGCGGAUGACUUGUGGCUGGGGGUGAAAGGCCAAUCAAACCGGGAGAUAGCUGGUUCUCCCCGAAAGCUAUUUAGGUAGCGCCUCGUGAAUUCAUCUCCGGGGGUAGAGCACUGUUUCGGCAAGGGGGUCAUCCCGACUUACCAACCCGAUGCAAACUGCGAAUACCGGAGAAUGUUAUCACGGGAGACACACGGCGGGUGCUAACGUCCGUCGUGAAGAGGGAAACAACCCAGACCGCCAGCUAAGGUCCCAAAGUCAUGGUUAAGUGGGAAACGAUGUGGGAAGGCCCAGACAGCCAGGAUGUUGGCUUAGAAGCAGCCAUCAUUUAAAGAAAGCGUAAUAGCUCACUGGUCGAGUCGGCCUGCGCGGAAGAUGUAACGGGGCUAAACCAUGCACCGAAGCUGCGGCAGCGACGCUUAUGCGUUGUUGGGUAGGGGAGCGUUCUGUAAGCCUGUGAAGGUGUACUGUGAGGUAUGCUGGAGGUAUCAGAAGUGCGAAUGCUGACAUAAGUAACGAUAAA